rnacentral:rRNA from 1 species
AAUUUGAAAUCUGGCGUCUUUGGCGUCCGAGUUGUAAUUUGCAGAGGGCGCUUUGGCAUUGGCAGCGGUCCAAGUUCCUUGGAACAGGACGUCACAGAGGGUGAGAAUCCCGUACGUGGUCGCUAGCCUUUACCGUGUAAAGCCCCUUCGACGAGUCGAGUUGUUUGGGAAUGCAGCUCUAAAUGGGAGGUAAAUUUCUUCUAAAGCUAAAUACUGGCCAGAGACCGAUAGCGCACAAGUAGAGUGAUCGAAAGAUGAAAAGCACUUUGGAAAGAGAGUUAAAAAGCACGUGAAAUUGUUGAAAGGGAAGCGCUUGCAGCCAGACUUGCCUGUAGUUGCUCAUCCGGGUUUUUACCCGGUGCACUCUUCUACGGGCAGGCCAGCAUCAGUUUGGGCGGUUGGAUAAAGGUCUCUGUCAUGUACCUCCUCUCGGGGAGAUCUUAUAGGGGAGACGACAUGCAACCAGCCUGGACUGAGGUCCGCGCAUCUGCUAGGAUGCUGGCGUAAUGGCUGUAAGCGGCC